GGAGCUGUAGCUCAGUGGAAGAACAUCUGCUUUUCAUGCAGAAGGACCCAGGUUCAAUCCCUGGUGUCUCUA